ensembl:lncRNA
GGGAUUUAAGUUUUGACCAGCAACUUCCAGACCUCGGUUCUCAACUGUGUGUUUGGAUCCGUUGGAACGAACGCGUUCCCCAAGGCGUUUCUAUCCCCUAUGGUUUCUCUUCUAUCUCAUUCAUCAGGGUGCAGGAAUCAACCUUCCUUCGGGGAGUGCAACUGAAGACCUGGUUUCCAUCAGCCGGGCAGCCAGAAGGGCUUCCACAGCACCAAUAACUCAAUGUUGGACCGACAGCUGGGGGUGCCCACCUUCAUCUUCUGCAUUCAUCCUUCAUUGAUAUUGUGAAUAAGAGAAGAAGCAGAGACAUUUUAAAGUUGCUUUGGCCAGUACCAGCGGUGUGGAGACCAGAAUAAACUCUCAAAGCCAGUAUUACUUUUUCAAACCGAGUUGGUGACUUCUUUUCUUUUACAGAAAUAAUGUUAUGUCCCUAAAAAGAAAGCCAAUGGAUAAACAUGUUCUUUUUAUUUACUGUGAGCCCUAGGAAUCUGUCUGCAGCACUCGUCCCUCUUUGUCCAUGUAGUGAAGCUGAAAUCUAAAUGAAGGUGCCAUGCUAGGGGCUGGACAGGCACCAUAUGAGAGCUUCGUACCACCCAGGAGAUGGUGAGGAGAGUGAGGAUGCUGUUCAACUGAAGGAAGCCACUGGGACAUGUUGGAAACAUGAAGAAUUCAGAAAGCUCUGCUGAAGGUGGAAGAAGAUGUGAACUUUUUGGCUACUGAUUCUUGUAAUCUGGAAAAUAUUUUUUUGAAGCUGAAUAUAUGGACUUGAUAAAAAUACCGCGUUUUACAGAGUUGCUAUUAAAAUUCUCUCAUCCAUGAUAGCUGCCUAGCUCAAUUAAUGCAGACUUAGGGCUGUCCUUAAGGAUUGGCUGAUGCAAGAAUACAAGAUGAUGAAUGAAGAAAAUUGCAGGUUUGGCUUUCCUCUUUCACACUUCCCUGUAGCUGGACAAACAUGAGCUUCAGAGCCAACAACUUCAUUACUGCAAAAAGUCCCAGGGGAUCCAUUACGUUCACAGAGCGGCCAGGUCCUCGGUCUUAUCUCAUCUCGCAGGCAGCUUCACUGGCAAGCAGAGCACCGUCUGCAGUACUGUACAGCUCUACCUCCAGGGUAUAAUGCUGACUGAAUGUCAGUGUGUUGGAGAAGCCUAUGGCACCUAAGUCAGCAGUCCCCGAAAACAGGGAAAGAGGAUUCCACGAAUCUCUGAAUAUCCCCAUGGUCAAAUCUGGCUGCAAAGAUUAACUAAUUGAGAGGUCACUGAGCGUCUCUUAAACCUUUCAAUAUGUUCUACUGCAGGUUUUUUUCCCAGGCUAAUUAAUUAAAGGUCUGAGCUAAAAGUUCAGUUGUAUUUUAUCCCUUUUUUUCUUCUGUCUCCCAUCUGUCUAUUUUACUCUAACUUAAUCCCUAAAUAUAACCUAACCAAGUUAUUGCUGCUGCCCAGUAUCACCAUAGCACCUGAAUAUAAUUUAACAGCUUCUACCGUUCUUGAAUAUUUUUGGUCCAGUGGAACACAGCUCACUGCCAGUUCUUUUCAGUCCACACUAAUUCUGAAAUGUUUAGAUGACAAAUGAAACUGUGCAGAUUUUGUCUUCAACAUGUGACCUUAUAAACUUCUGUGUUUCCUUGUAUGGCACGUGCCUGGGGAGACAUUUCUCCUUAACGGUGUUCACUUAGGUGCAAAUGACAAUGUUUGUUUCUCUUUUGAUUACCUUGUGUUUGAUAAUAAUGUUCCAAUGAUUGUAUUGCUGUGUUUGUAGUUACAAAGUUAAUUAUCCAUGGUCUUGGUAAUGUGCAUUUUCUAAUAAAGUAAUCA